rnacentral:rRNA from 1 species
AGCAGCCGCGGUAAAUUCCAGCUCCAAUAGCGUAUAUUAAAGUUGUUGCCGUUAAAAAGCUCGUAGUUGAACCUUGGGCCUGGCUGACCUGUCCUCCUAAUCGAGCGCACGGGUUCGGUCGGGCCUUUCCUUCUGGGGAUCCCGAUGCCCUUCACUGGGCGUCGUGGGGAACCAGGACUUUUACCUUGAAAAAAUUAGAGUGUUCAAAGCAGGCCUUUGCUCGAAUACAUUAGCAUGGAAUAAUAGAAUAGGACAGAGGUUCUAUUUUGUUGGUUUCUAGGACCGCUGUAAUGAUUAAUAGGGAUAGUCGGGGGCGUCCGUAUUCAAUUGUCAGAGGUGAAAUUCUUGGAUUUAUUGAAGACGAACUACUGCGAAAGCAUUCGCCAAGGAUGUUUUCAUU